rnacentral:lncRNA from 1 species
UCAAAUAUUAUAUUAUUAUAUUAUAUUUUAAAAAGUGGUACAGGACCUCUCUUUCUAAGAUACAGUGGACCCAAAUCACAUUUGUUACUGACAUCAAAUUUGCCGUGGAACAGUGUUGGGCCUGACCAGACCAAGCCCGCCGAAGAAGUACAAGAAGCCCAAGACAAAAGGAGCAGCCCAGCUCAGAAGGAAGAAAGUGCUAUAAAUACAAGGAGAGAAACCAGAGUCAGGGACUCAGGGUUCCUUUCAAAAAAAAAAAAAAACAGAGUCAGGGGUUGAGGAAACUGAGAGGGAGAAGAGGCUCCCAACAAAGAGUUAUUCGUUACAUUCUCCGACUUGAACGAUACGCAUGCAUAGUCCUCCCUUGAUUGUUUAUCUCGGUGUGUUUUAAAAUUUUAUAAAAUAUAAUUUCAUAAAUUAUUUAAAAAAAUUAUCUUAGAUAAUUUACAGUAUGUGCCAAAUAAUGAAAAUACGGUAAAGAAAUUACAUGAAUGGAAGGAGUAAUUCAUAACACUAACAAAUUUCAUGACAAAUAUGUUGACGAGUACACAUAAGAAUAUACAAUACACAACAAGAGCUAGCACAGGAAGUAUAUAUAGAGAUGAGAGUACUUGCACCCACAAAAUAGACUAGAACUUGAGAAGAUUAACAUUAUUUCUACAGUUUACAUUGAUACAAACUCACGAACUCAAGAAUACUAAUUAAGACCCCAACAACUCAAGUACAUAACAAUCCUCAAAGACUCCUCAGCAGGAGGAUUAGCUUUAGCAUUAGUUCCCUUUACAUAAGACUGCUUCACUUCCGCACUACCACCAAAUGAACUCAAUGACUGCUUUGACGAUGCGAAACCGUUAGAACCAGUCCUAGAUGACUUCGAGGACGCAGACUCACCAUUUAAUCCUCCUCUUGUUUUCAUUUUCUAUACGGAUAAAUUUAACACGAUACAAGCAUACACUCCUAGCUAGAGGUGAUAGAAGAUAAGGAGAGACUUGUGGGGAAUUUAUACUGUAGCUGACAUUUCAAAACUGGUGACUGAAACAGCUGGCUACAAGGGGACUAUAAAGAAAACCAGGGGCGUAUUUUGCAUAGCUAAUUUUGAACCAAUUUGUUUACUCAAGCUCAUACAAGGACAAGAAUACAUGCACAACCGGCUUUUCUUUUUUGCUUCUUUAACGUAGUCACCCAUCUUUUUGCGGACUAUUGGCGUCGUUGAUUACUCUCACGUGCGUCAGAGUUUUGGAUAACUUAAAAAAUUGCUUUCAAAAUUUAAAUACUUGUUACUUAUUGAUAAAUAAAAGAUUAAUUAGAGAAGCUAGAUAAAAAUUCAAAAAUGUGUGUUUUACAAAACUAAACGUAAGUAAAUAUCUAAAUGGUUUAACAUUUUUAACGAUAUUAGUUAAAGUUAAUUAGUUAAAUUACAUAAAAUACCAAUUGUUUAAAUUGGUUGAACAUAUAAUACAUUACAAAUAUUA